GGGGCUUGACAUCCCACGAACCUGCCCGAAAGGGUAGGGUGCCCGCAAGGGAGCGCGGAGACAGGUGGUGCAUGGCUGUCGUCAGCUCGUGUCGUGAGAUGUUGGGUUAAGUCCCGCAACGAGCGCAACCCUCACCCCUUGUUGCCAACAGGUCAGGCUGGGCACUCUAGGGGAACUGCCCCGGUCAACGGGGAGGAAGGUGGGGAUGACGUCAAGUCAUCAUGCCCCUUACGUCCUGGGCUACACACGUGCUACAAUGGCCGGUACAAAGGGAUGCAAGACCGCGAGGUGGAGCUAAACCCAAAAAGCCGGUCUAAGUUCAGAUUGGAGUCUGCAACUCGACUCCAUGAAGGAGGAAUCGCUAGUAAUCGCGCAUCAGCACGGCGCGGUGAAUACGUUCCCGGGCCUUGUACACACCGCCCGUCACACCACGAAAGCCAGCUGUACUCGAAGUCGCUGAG
rnacentral:rRNA from 1 species